UACGUAGGGUGCGAGCGUUAAUCGGAAUUACUGGGCGUAAAGCGUGCGCAGGCGGUUUUUUAAGCCAGAUGUGAAAUCCCCGGGCUUAACCUGGGAAUGGCAUUUGGGACUGCAAGGCUUGAGUGCGGCAGAGGAGACUGGAAUUCCUGGUGUAGCAGUGAAAUGCGUAGAUAUCAGGAGGAACACCGAUGGCGAAGGCGGGUCUCUGGGCAGUAACUGACGCUGAGGAGCGAAAGCGUGGGGAGCGAACAGG
rnacentral:rRNA from 1 species